rnacentral:rRNA from 1 species
AGAGCGAACGCUGGCGGCAUGCUUAACACAUGCAAGUCGCACGGGCAGGGGUAACCCUGUCAGUGGCGGACGGGUGAGUAACGCGUAGGUAUCUAUCCUUGGGUGGGGGACAACUGUGGGAAACUACAGCUAAUACCGCAUGAUAACUGAGGUUUAAAGGCGCAAGUCGCCUGAGGAGGAGCCUGCGUACGAUUAGCUAGUUGGUGGGGUAAAGGCCUACCAAGGCUGUGAUCGUUAGCUGGUCUGAGAGGAUGAUCAGCCACAUUGGGACUGAGACACGGCCCAAACUCCUACGGGAGGCAGCAGUGGGGAAUAUUGGACAAUGGGCGAAAGCCUGAUCCAGCAAUGCCGCGUGUGUGAAGAAGGUCUUCGGAUUGUAAAGCACUUUCGACGGGACGAUGAUGACGGUACCCGUAGAAGACGCCCGGCUAACGUUCGUGCCAGCAGCCGC